ACUCCUACGGGAGGCAGCAGUAAGGAAUAUUGGUCAAUGGANGCAANUCUGAACCAGCCAUGCCGCGUGGAGGAUGAAGGUCCUCUGGAUUGUAAACUUCUUUUAUNUGGGACGAAAAAAGGNUUUUCUAANUCGNCUGACGGUACCAUAUGAAUAAGCACCGGCUAACUCCGUGCCAGCAGCCGCGGUAAUACGGAGGGUGCAAGCGUUAUCCGGAUUCACUGGGUUUAAAGGGUGCGUAGGUGGGUUGGUAAGUCAGUGGUGAAAUCCCCGAGCUUAACUUGGGAACUGCCAUUGAUACUAUCAGUCUUGAAUANCGUGGAGGUCGGCGGAAUAUGUCAUGUAGCGGUGAAAUGCUUAGAUAUGACAUAGAACACCAAUUGCGAAGGCAGCUGNCUACGCGGAUAUUGACACUGAGGCACGAAAGCGUGGGGAUCAAACAGGAUUAGAUACCCUGGUAGUC
rnacentral:rRNA from 1 species